CCUACGGGAGGCAGCAGUGGGGAAUAUUGCACAAUGGGCGCAAGCCUGAUGCAGCCAUGCCGCGUGUGUGAAGAAGGCCUUCGGGUUGUAAAGCACUUUCAGCGGGGAGGAAGGCGUUAAGGUUAAUAACCUUGUCGAUUGACGUUACCCGCAGAAGAAGCACCGGCUAACUCCGUGCCAGCAGCCGCGGUAAUACGGAGGGUGCAAGCGUUAAUCGGAAUUACUGGGCGUAAAGCGCACGCAGGCGGUCUGUCAAGUCGGAUGUGAAAUCCCCGGGCUCAACCUGGGAACUGCAUUCGAAACUGGCAGGCUAGAGUCUUGUAGAGGGGGGUAGAAUCCCAGUGUAGCGGUGAAAUGCGUAGAGAUCUGGAGGAAUACCGGUGGCGAAGGCGGCCCCCUGGACAAAGACUGACGCUCAGGUGCGAAAGCGUGGGGAGCAAACAGGAUUAGAUACCCCGGUAGUC
rnacentral:rRNA from 1 species